CAGGGAGUAGUUUAAUUAAAAUUUUAAUUUUGGAGAUUAAAGAUGAGGAUUCCUUCUCCCUGA
rnacentral:tRNA from 1 species